AUUGAACGCUGGCGGCAGGCCUAACACAUGCAAGUCGAGCGGAGCGGCGGACGGGUGAGUAAUGCCUAGGUAUCUGCCUGGUAGUGGUGGAUAACGUCAGGAAACGGGAGCUAAUACCGCAUACUAUCAGAAGAGCCUAGGUCGGCUUAGCUAGUUGGUGGGGUAAAGGCUUACCAAGGCGACGAUCCGUAACUGGUCUGAGAGGAUGAUCAGUCACACUGGAACUGAGACACGGUGCGGGCUCCUACGGAAGGCAGCAUUGGGGAAUUUUGGACAAUUGGCGAAAGUCUGAUCCAGCCAUGCCGCGUGUGUGAAGAAGGUCUUCGGAUUGUAAAGCACUUUAAGUUGGGAAGCGUUAUCCGCAGAAUAAGCACCGGCUAACUCCGUGCCAGCCGCCGCGGUAAUUC
rnacentral:rRNA from 1 species